rnacentral:rRNA from 1 species
UACGUAGGGGGCAAGCGUUGUCCGGAAUUAUUGGGCGUAAAGAGCUCGUAGGCGGCUUGUCGCGUCGGCUGUGAAAACCUGGGGCUCAACCCCGGGCCUGCAGUCGAUACGGGCAGACUAGAGUGCGGGAGGGGAGACUGGAAUUCCUGGUGUAGCGGUGAAAUGCGCAGAUAUCAGGAGGAACACCGGUGGCGAAGGCGGGUCUCUGGGCCGUAACUGACGCUGAGGAGCGAAAGCGUGGGGAGCGAACAGG